AUUGAAUGCUGGCGGCAUGCCUUACACAUGCAAGUCGAACGGCAGCGGACCUUCGGGUGCCGGCGAGUGGCGAACGGGGGAGUAAUGCAUCGGAACGUACCUUUCAGUGGGGGAUAACGUAGCGAAAGUUACGCUAAUACCGCAUAUUCUGUGAGCAGGAAAGCAGGGGAUCGCAAGACCUUGCGCUGAUUGAGCGGCCGAUGUCAGAUUAGCUAGUUGGUGAGGUAAAGGCUCACCAAGGCGACGAUCUGUAGCGGGUCUGAGAGGAUGAUCCGCCACACUGGGACUGAGACACGGCCCAGACCCCUACGGGAGGCAGCAGUGGGGAAUUUUGGACAAUGGGGGCAACCCUGAUCCAGCCAUGCCGCGUGAGUGAAGAAGGCCUUCGGGUUGUAAAGCUCUUUCGGCCGGGAAGAAAUCGCACAGGCUAAUACCUUGUGUGGAUGACGGUACCGGAAUAAGAAGCACCGGCUAACUACGUGCCAGCCGCCGCGGUAACAC
rnacentral:rRNA from 1 species